rnacentral:rRNA from 1 species
AGUGAACGCUGGCGGUAGGCCUAACACAUGCAAGUCGAACGGCAGCACAGGAGAGCUUGCUCUCUGGGUGGCGAGUGGCGGACGGGUGAGGAAUACAUCGGAAUCUACUCUGUCGUGGGGGAUAACGUAGGGAAACUUACGCUAAUACCGCAUACGACCUACGGGUGAAAGCAGGGGAUCUUCGGACCUUGCGCGAUUGAAUGAGCCGAAGUGGGAUUAGCUAGUUGGCGGGGUAAAGGCCCACCAAGGCGACGAUCCGUAGCUGGUCUGAGAGGAAGAGCGGCCACACGUGGACUGAGACACGGUCCAGACUCCUACGGGAGGCAGCAGUGGGGAAUAUUGGACAAUGGGCGAAAGCCUGAUCCUGCCAUACCGCGUGGGUGAAGAAGGCCUUCGGGUUGUAAAGCCCUUUUGUUGGGAAAGAAAUCCAGCUGGCUAAUACCCGGUUGGGAUGACGGUACCCAAAGAAUAAGCACCGGCUAACUUCGUGCCAGCCGCCGCCGUAA